UACGUAGGGGGCAAGCGUUGUCCGGAAUCAUUGGGCGUAAAGAGCGUGUAGGCGGCCAGAUAGGUCUGCUGUGAAAACUCGAGGCUUAACCUCGAGCUGUCGGCGGAAACCAUCUGGCUAGAGUCCGGAAGAGGAGAAUGGAAUUCCCGGUGUAGCGGUGAAAUGCGCAGAUAUCGGGAAGAACACCCGUGGCGAAGGCGGUUCUCUGGGACGGUACUGACGCUGAGACGCGAAAGCGUGGGGAGCGAACAGG
rnacentral:rRNA from 1 species